UCAUAUCUAUUUAACCUUAAGGAAAAUAAGGCUAGCUCUGAAUUCGCAAACUUUUCGACAUGAAUGACAUUACAAAAUUUAAUAUAAAAAGAAAAGUAAUAGCACUACUUGGCAACGUCACGUUGAGUCUGAGAAUAUGGACGAUACAAAAAGAAUCAUGUCGCAUGAGAUUUGAGACCCACUGUAUUUAGACUAUGCCAAAAUCAGGGGACCUUGAGAAAUAACCCUUCAGUGGUGUCUCUCUUCAGAAUGACUUCUUGCUUAAGAGCUGAGCAGUACUAUACAGCAUUACUGUACUUUUCGUAAUAAUGGAUAAAGGACUGAUAUUAUACCCCCAAUCUUCAACAAUGGCAGUCCCCGGGUUACAUCGGCCUCAGCUUCCAUCGUUCCAAGCUUACAGCAUUUUUCAAAUAUAUUCGUCAAAAAGUCUGUCCCAAGGUUACAACAGAUGUUUCGAGGUUACUUCGUUUCAGGCCUAAGGUGAUGGAAGAAUAUUUAUAAAUUUUGGGACAAAAUUCUACAAGAUCAUGGAUGCAUACCUCACCAGAAGCAAGGUAAAACAAUUUGAAAGUUUUCAAGACAACCUAAGUAUUAAAGGCAGUAUGUGAAAUCAUAAUGUUUGGAUGACGUCCCGUACAAGCAACCUGGAUCACCCACGUUCAUGAAAUAAUGUCCGAAACACUGUGGUCUUUUGUCUGCCAGAAAAAAAGUGGUAACGGUGUGUCAUAUAAGCCUCUGGAUCCUUUGGUUCACAACAGAUCACCUGUUUCAGAUGACAGUGAAUGUAGGGCGACCGGCUGUCUUGAAUAAACUUGAUAAAAAGAUUUUCAGUCAUCAGCUCUUAUGUUGUUAGUCACAUACUCAUUUCUUGGACUGUUCCACCUCAAAUUAGAGAAUGGGAGGACAGUGAAGAGGACAUCAGCAUUCACUCGUAGUAAAGUAAGUUAGUGCAAUAAUUUAUAGGUUUAGGUAAUAUUAGCCUGAAGAUGUUUUCCAUUUCAUAUAUAACAGAUUCAUUCCAGCCAUUUAACUUCUCAUGGUAUAUUUCAGCUUGCAUUGCCAUAUAGCAUUUUCUUUAAUUUCCAUGCAUGACAUAAUGGUUAAUUUUAGUCAGUGUGGAAGCUAGGAUAUUUGCUUGAAAGUACAAUACUCUCAUACAUGAUAAUUCUUAGGCAUGCAAAGCAUAGUGGAAGAAUCUUUUAUUUAUACCUUUGUUCCUGAAUAAGCACAAGAGACCAUAAUUUGCUCAAGCAUUGUGUGGUAUAAAACAUUUGUGAGAGAUGUUUGAGAAUAAAGUAUAUAUGUGUGCAACAGGUGAAUAGUGAACUAGCAAAUCUGACACGCUGUCUUACAGAUGUAAUUGAAAACCCAACUGUAGUACUUAACUAGAACAAUCUCGUAAAUAGAUACUAAAGUAGGUUGCACAUUAUGCAAAGAACGUGUAACUAUACUGUAUAAAUACAUAGUACAUACAGUGUUGAGUACAAUUCAGUGUAUAUCCCAGUAAAGUGAAAAUUUUUAAGUGUAAAAAAGUUGAUAUAAGUGACUAUAAAUGUCAGCUACUACUAGGUUUUAUCAUAUUUUUAAUAACCUUAGAGGCUGCAAAAAAUGCAGCCAUGCAGGACUUGUGGCUUACUUGUUAGUAUAAGACUGCAAUUCCAUGUAUGCUCUAUACGUACUAUUAGACACAAAACUACCAAAGCAAAAUUCUGUAAAGAUUUUUCAUGUAACUAAACUUCUUUUCAACUUUGCUAUCAAAUGAACAAGACAAAUGUUUCUUUAAAGUUGUAGGACUCAUAUGGUUUUAUAAUAAUCCCUAGUACAGAAUGGGAAUCAGCAUUCCAAGUUCCAGUUGUCAAUGGGAUGUCAAGAUCUAAAAUGAAUAGGGUAAAUAUGUAAGAUCUUGGAGCAAGAUGUUUUGUAAUAUGUGAUCUGAAGGGAUGAAGAACAAGUUUGUUAGAAUAAUAAAGAAUGUUCCGGUAAAAUAUACUAGUUGGAAGGCCCAGAAAUUUAAGGAAAAGGCCAGUAAGAAAACUUAGGUCAGUGUAGAUAGGAAUCACAAGACAGAAGAGACUGAACAGUUAUUUCAUACUUAACCCUUUAAGGGGAAAAAGUGAACUAUCUCCAGUUGUUAUGCAUCCGAUUAAUUUGUUUUGUAGUUUGGUAUAUUAUUCAUUUAUCUAAAGAUUGUGGAAGCAUCAUGGUGAUGAAAACUUACUUUUGUACCUUUCUGGUUCCGUCCAUUCUAAAUGUUACUAAUAAUAACUACAUUCAUAUUAAGAUGUCAGAUGGCAGUAUGAAAAAUCAUCAUGAAUAAAUGCCUACAAAUUAUUUUUUAAUAAAGUACAUUUGGGAAUGAGGGGAGAAACUAGAAUCACAGAAAUUAUUCACCCACCCAGAGAAGUAUAGGAGAAACUAGGAUUAAUAUCACAGAAAGCUCUUUUCUAUACCAUUGGAUAUACUUUUCAUUGUUUUAAUCCUUGAAAGCUUUGUCAGCAAUUAUCAAGAUAGUCGUCAAUUUUUGCUCACUUGAAAAUCUUACAUUGUAAAUGACAUCACAGCCUUGUUAUGAACAUGAGAGAUGUUUUAUACUUUGAGAAGCUGUAUUUAAUUAUAAGCAAUGACAGUUGAUUAUCUGUAGUCAGGAAGAAUUUUGUUUAGAAUCUGAAUCAAUCUAUAAUUUUAACAGAGUCAAUUUUGAAUGGUUCUAGUCCUCAGGUCAUUUUUUAGCUUCAACUAAUCUGAAAUACUAUAAAUGAUUGUUAACAUUUACAAAGUUUCUGCAUCAAAUUCAUUAAGCAUUUCUUAACUGACCUCGAACUUUAACAGUGGUGUAUUUUACGGAUUAAUCUUUACACUUAUAAAAAGAGUUGAAGAAUCAUAAAUUGUUAAAAUAUUUAAUUGGGUGAAUAAAGAGUCAUAGUUUUAACAGUGUAAAAAGUAUACAGGCUGACUAAUUUGAUGGCAAAAUCCAGCAAGCCAAGUCUUGUUAAUGCAUAAUUAACCCGACCAUUCUCUCUUUUGGGUAAUUAUAUUGUUAUGCCAAAGCAUCAAUUGUCAUCAUAGUCUACCAUGUAAGUACUAUAUGAAUUUAUAUUAAUCGUAAUGCUAUGCAAGAGCAUCGGUUAUCAUAGUCUAACAUGUAUGUGAAUUUAUAUAAAGGUUUAUUUAUCUGUUCAGUGCAUAUUAUAGGUUUUAUAACAUGGAUCACAGCUUGCAUUUAUUUAAUAGCCCUCUUUCAUAGGAGAAAAAUUUAGUAUCGCUUACCAAGGAAAUGGCAAUACUAUCUUAAGUACAUCAGUAGGUGAAAUGUCUUGUGCUUGCCACUCCUAAAAUUUAUGUCCAUAAAUAUUAACAUAGGAUCUGUAAUUAAUCCAUAAAUUUACAUUUGCCAAAAUUCUAAUUUGUUUUAUGAUCAAGAACUUGAAAAGUCAUUAAUAAGGCAGCUUGUAUGGCACAAUUUUCCUGCCAUUUAAUAUAUACACUAAGUAAUUAUUUCUCAAAACAAAAAGCACUUAACAUUUUACUCUACUACAACACAAACACACACCUUUAGUGUUUGUAAUGUUAAAUUUUCCAUCCAAACAAUUAAGGGGUAGAAUAUUUCAAAUUAUUUUGAUCAAAAACUGGUUAUACUUAGGAAACACUUAUGAUAAAGCAGAGGUCUGUUAUUGGAUAGAGAACUUUCAUUGUAAAAUCUGUUUUAUUAGUAAGUUUUUCCAAACCAACAUGUUAAUCAUAUAUUUGCAGCCUUUUGUUUAUUAGGGGGAAGCAGCAUAGUGGAAGAACAAUUUUAUGUACAAGUUAAUUCAUGUAUUAAAAGAGAGAGAGAGAGAGAGAGAGAGAGAGAGAGAGAGAGAGAGAGAGAGAGAGAGAGAGAGAGAGA